rnacentral:rRNA from 1 species
CAGCAGCCGCGGUAAUACGUAGGUGGCAAGCGUUGUCCGGAAUUAUUGGGCGUAAAGGGCUCGCAGGCGGUUUCUUAAGUCUGAUGUGAAAGCCCCCGGCUCAACCGGGGAGGGUCAUUGGAAACUGGGAAACUUGAGUGCAGAAGAGGAGAGAGGAAUUCCACGUGUAGCGGUGAAAUGCGUAGAGAUGUGGAGGAACACCAGUGGCGAAGGCGACUCUCUGGUCUGUAACUGACGCUGAGGAGCGAAAGCGUGGGGAGCGAACAGGAUUAGAGACCCCCGUAGUCCCUGUCUCUUAUAC